CCAGCUACUUACUGCCCUGAAGCGUUGUGCUUGUAGCCAGGAGAAGGAGGACAUAAAUUCCUUAAAUUCCAGCAGGUCCGAGGGUCUGUGUUCACAGACAUUUGAAGGCAAAACAAAAGAGGAAGAAACUAUCCUGAAUCGUCACAGUAACCUUGGAAACCAUGUGUGCCAUCUGGAACACAUGACUGUGAGAUGAAUGCAGGCUUGAUACCCAAAUAAUCAAUGGAACAGAGCAAUGCAGAAGAGCCAGUAACUCUCAUUGAGCUAUGACAUGAAGGAGAAAUAAGCGAUUUUGAAGCCACCGAGAAAGCCUAGUUCAUCUUAAUAUAUUGC